UUACAAAAAACGGGAAGUUAUAAGAUACACUUGAUACUGUCAUUCUAAAUAUUUCACUCAAACCUCAUCAGUUGAGCUAAACCCUAAUAAGACCCAUUUGUCUCAGUUGAAAAUAGAAGGCAGACUUUUUAUAUUCUUCGGAGCCCAAUUUUCGCCCAGCCUCCUCCAGGAAGUCUUUCUGAUCACCAAGCCCAUGUGCCCACUCCCCCAUGACCCAUCCUUAAGGUCUACUGUCCAUACUGUCCAUACUGCAAAUGACUAUCUUACUGCAUAUAUGAUCUAAUUAAUCAGAGUGAGCCUCUCCUAUUACAACUGUAUGGCUCACUGUUUCAUACAUGAGUGUCUUGUCUGAAGAUGCCUAAGGGUGUUUUUCACAUAUGAAGCCAUUUUUAAUCCCCCUAGCACCUAGGACGGGUGUUAAUACACACUCAGUGUUCUGUAAAUACUUGUUGAUCGAUCUGUUAUUUCUUUUCCUAACUCUAUUAGUUCCACAGUAAACAGAGCUAAAGCCAGGACUGAAAGGCAAUGGGGAUUCAAGGUAUAGAGAUAAACUGGACAGUGCCAGAUGUGUUUACAAUGUAUUCAUGACUAUCCCAUUUAUCUGCAGCAUGCCUAUGUAGCUAUGCAUUGAAAACCAGUCUAAAGUAAAAAUGACACACGUGCAUAAAAUAAAAAUCAUUGUGAUAAACCUUUUAAUACAUUGCCUGUUAAAAUUCUCAUGUCACAUGUGUUCAGGUGUUCUAAUCUAUAUGAUUCUGAUUCUCCUUCUAGAAUGGGAAAGGUCACUUUAUGUUCUUAAAGAAUAACCUCAAUCAUCUAGGCCAGGUGCCUCCCAGAGGAAAUGAAGUACAAAAAGGAAAGAGAUACAACUGGUUAGGGGCUUCUGCCUGCUGGAGAUCGCCAGCUUGGUCUGGUGUUUAUUAGGAGCAGCUGCAGAUGCUGGGAUACAAAGCGAUGGUGUUAGAACCCCCAGUAAAAGACCUCGAAGAAAAGCAGAGCCAAUGUAGCAAAGUGUGGGGUAAGAGCAGAUAUCUUCUAUUAAUAAGGAAAAUGGAAAAAUCAAGCUGCAAGCAGAGGUCACCCUCAGCUGAACUUCUACUGCAGUUAUUUCUACCAUUCUCUGAUGUUCUUUCUUUUAGGGACCAAAGUGGAGUGGUUCUGCCUAUUUUCACAAGUUGGUUACUGAAAACAAAGAGAUAUGGAACUCUCUGCUGACAACUGCCUAAGCACAGCAGCAUAAAGGAAGGGGUGCUGGAAGUCUGGACCUGCUGAGCUCCGAUCAAGCCGCUAUGCCUUUUACUGCCUGAAAGACCUUCACUCAGUCUUACAGAACUCUCAGGACCACAGAAAUGUAAACUAGCAUCAUGUUUUUUUUUAAAAAACUUCUUAUAAGCAACAUGUACAAAUGAAACCUGUCUCUAAGCCUAUGUGAAGAACUUCAAAUAAGAGGGAAAAUGAAGUUUUGAAUUAAAAGUACAUUUCUAAGGCAUCUUCCAAUCUCAAAUAAAAUGUGUUAAUUUUCAGCCAUGGCAUCUGAGAGCACAUUAUCAGGUUAAGCCUUUAAAACUUAUUUUUAGGUGUAAUUCACUUUUAUCAUUUAAGCGUACAAAAAUUGUUCUGAGACAGUGGUUUGAGCAGAAAAAAGUGUUUAAGAAAUAAGCUUAGGAAAUGAUUAAAAAAUUAUUUCACAAAAUGGAUUUAUUGGAGUAUUAGCCAACAAAUUACAUAUACUUUACCUAGUAAUACCUCACAGAAUGAGUAGAAAUAGAUGAACCAAAAGAAAAGGAGGUUAUUUAUUAAAUAUCUUGUAAAUUUUUCUCCAUCUGCUGACCUUUCAUAGCAUUUUAUUCAUAGCAUUUAUGUAACACUAAGACUUAAUGGACAUGGGUUUGGGUGGACUCCGGGAGUUGGUGAUGGACACGGAGGCCUGGUGUGCUG